rnacentral:rRNA from 1 species
AACAGAUGAAGAGCUUGCUCAGAUUGCUGACGACCGGCGCACGGGUGAGUAACACGUAUGCAACCUACCUUUUACAGAGGGAUAGCCCAGAGAAAUUUGGAUUAAUACCUCAUGAUAUUUUUAACUCGCAUGAGUUUUAAAUUAAAACUUCGGUGGUAAAAGAUGGGCAUGCGUUCUAUUAGUUUGUUGGUGAGGUAACGGCUUACCAAGACUACGAUAGAUAGGGGUUCUGAGAGGAUAGUCCCCCACACUGGUACUGAGACACGGACCAGACUCCUACGGGAGGCAGCAGUGAGGAAUAUUGGUCAAUGGUCGAAAGACUGAACCAGCCAUGUCGCGUGAAGGAUGACGGCCCUAUGGGUUGUAAACUUCUUUUGUAUGGGAAGAAAAGCAGUUACGUGUAACUGUCUGCCGGUACCAUACGAAUAAGGAUCGGCUAACUCCGUGCCAGCAGCCGCGGUAAUACGGAGGAUCCAAGCGUUAUCCGGAUUUAUUGGGUUUAAAGGGUGCGUAGGCGGCUCUAUAAGUCAGUAGUGAAAUCUCGAAGCUCAACUUCGAACGUGCUAUUGAAACUGUAGAGCUUGAGUACAGACGAGGCAGGCGGAAUGUGUUGUGUAGCGGUGAAAUGCUUAGAUAUAACACAGAACACCGAUAGCGAAGGCAGCUUGCCAGACUGUAACUGACGCUGAGGCACGAAAGCGUGGGGAGCGAACAGGAUUAGAUACCCUGGUAGUCCACGCCGUAAACGAUGAUUACUGGUUGUAGGCGAUACAUUGUCUGUGACUGAGCGAAAGUAUUAAGUAAU